CUUCUACACUUGCCCUCAGAGUUCACAUAUGGUGAAGUGCACAGGUGUCCAGUCAGGUUCAGACUGAUGCUGGUAACAAGAGGAAAACAUGCUAAUUGAUGACAUUUCCAGCAUGUCCAACUCAUCGGCAUCAUGGGAGAUUCGGUGAAGGUGGUGCACCAUCCAGGACCAGUCAUGGGCCACCAACACGUCUGCAAAAUCUACACUUCUUGUGAACCCUGUAGAAGACACUACAACCACAAAACUGCUAAUAAACCAUCACAUACUGCAUCA